AACGAACGCUGGCGGCAUGCCUAACACAUGCAAGUCGAACGAGACCUUCGGGUCUAGUGGCGCACGGGUGCGUAACGCGUGGGAACCUGCCCUUAGGUUCGGAAUAACUCCCCGAAAGGGGUGCUAAUACCGGAUAAUGUCUUCGGACCAAAGAUUUAUCGCCUUUGGAUGGGCCCGCGUUGGAUUAGCUAGUUGGUAGGGUAAAAGCCUACCAAGGCGACGAUCCAUAGCUGGUCUGAGAGGAUGAUCAGCCACACUGGGACUGAGACACGGCCCAGACUCCUACGGGAGGCAGCAGUGGGGAAUAUUGGACAAUGGGCGAAAGACUGAUCCAGCAAUGCCGCGUGAGUGAUGAAGGCCUUAGGGUUGUAAAGCUAUUUUACCCGGGAUGAUAAUGACAGUACCGGGAGAAUAAGCUCCGGCUAACUCCGUG
rnacentral:rRNA from 1 species